AACAAACGCUGGCGGCGUGCCUAAUACAUGCAAGUCGAACGGGGAAAGCUAUCGGGUGAGUACUAGUGGCGCACGGGUGAGUAACGCGUGGCUAAUCUGACUUAGCGUGGGGGAUAACUAGUCGAAAGAUUAGCUAAUACCGCAUAAGAACACAAGACAUGCGGUUAAAGGGGUCAAAGGUUUUUCGCUCUAAGAUGAGUCCUCGUAAGAUUAGCUAGUUGGUAGGGUAACGGCCUACCAAGGCGACGAUCUUUAACUGGUUUGAGAGGAUGAUCAGCCACACUGGAACUGAGACACGGUCCAGACUCCUACGGGAGGCAGCAGUGGGGAAUAUUGGACAAUGGGCGCAAGCCUGAUCCAGCCAUGCCGCGUGUGUGAAGAAGGCCUUCGGGUUGUAAAGCACUUUCAGCGAGGAGGAAGGGUGGUGUGUUAAUAGCACAUCAUUUUGACGUUACUCGCAGAAUAAGCACCGGCUAACUCUGUGCCAGCCGCCGCGGUAAGAC
rnacentral:rRNA from 1 species